UGGGGAAUAUUGGACAAUGGGCGAAAGCCUGAUCCAGCCAUGCCGCGUGUGUGAAGAAGGUCUUCGGAUUGUAAAGCACUUUAAGUUGGGAGGAAGGGCAUUAACCUAAUACGUUAGUGUUUUGACGUUACCGACAGAAUAAGCACCGGCUAACUCUGUGCCAGCAGCCGCGGUAAUACAGAGGGUGCAAGCGUUAAUCGGAAUUACUGGGCGUAAAGCGCGCGUAGGUGGUUUGUUAAGUUGGAUUUGAAAUCCCCGGGCUCAACCUGGGGACUGCAUUCAAAACUGACUGACUAGAGUAUGUUAGAGGGUGGUGGAAUUUCCUGUGUAGCGGUGAAAUGCGUAGAUAUAGGAAGGAACACCAGUGGCGAAGGCGACCACCUGGACUAAUACUGACACUGAGGUGCGAAAGCGUGGGGAGCAAACA
rnacentral:rRNA from 1 species